rnacentral:rRNA from 1 species
GACGAACGCUGGCGGCGUGCUUAACACAUGCAAGUCGAACGGAAAGGCCCUGCUUUUGUGGGGUGCUCGAGUGGCGAACGGGUGAGUAACACGUGAGUAACCUGCCCUUGACUUUGGGAUAACUUCAGGAAACUGGGGCUAAUACCGGAUAGGAGCUCCUGCUGCAUGGUGGGGGUUGGAAAGUUUCGGCGGUUGGGGAUGGGCUCGCGGCUUAUCAGCUUGUUGGUGAGGUAGUGGCUUACCAAGGCUUUGACGGGUACGCGGCCUGAGAGGGUGACCGGCCACACUGGGACUGAGGUACGGCCCAGACUCCUACGGUAGGCAGCAGUGCGGAAUCUUGCACAAUGGGCGGAAGCCUGAUGCAGCAACGCCGCGUGCGGGAUGACGGCCUUCGGGUUGUAAACCGCUUUCGCCUGUGACGAAGCGUGAGUGACGGUAAUGGGUAAAGAAGCACCGGCUAACUACGUG